GCAGAUCUGCAACAACCAGCUGUAAAAGUAGCUACCAUCAAUCGAUUUCCUAUUUCAGUGACGCUUCCAAAUGUUUUCGGAGGCUACAAACUCUAAUAUAGAGCUUGACGAAGGCGACAGUAUGUCUGGUUCGUCAAAUGUUGACCGUAAAUCUCGCAGGGAGUCACUGGGAAACACGCAAUUCACAGGAUUACGAGGACAAAAUAAUACGAGGUUUAGAGUAUUAUUUAGUAAACUUAUUAAUAAGCUGCUUCUUAACAGAAAAAGACUGCCUGUUCCCAUGUUCUCCAGAAAUAAUACCAGUAUUUUUAGUUUACUUCGGCAAUGUAUUGGGAAAGAUUUGUCGAAAAUCACAAUGCCAGUUACGUUUAAUGAGCCGUUAAGUUUUUUGCAGAGGUUAUCGGAGUAUCUAGAGUCUUCAUACCUAAUUGACAAUGCCUCAGAUUCAACUGACCCCAUCCACCGAAUGGAGUUUGUAACUGCUUUUGCUGUUUCUGCUUUGUCAUCUAAUCAUGAACGUUUAGGGAAACCGUUCAACCCUUUAUUAGGAGAAACGUAUGAGUUAGUGAGGGAGGAUCUUGGAUUUAGCUUGGUGGCCGAACAAGUCUCACAUCAUCCCCCCAUAUCAGCUUUUCAUGCAGAGUCUUCUUCUUAUACCUUUUCUGGUUCAAUAUCUCCUGCAGUUAAAUAUACCGGAAAAAAUGUGGACAUUCGGCCUGAAGGUUUCGUAACAUUACAUUUGAAGAAAUGGAACGAAACCUAUGUAUGGUCUAAUAUUGCUUGUCGUGUACACAAUAUAUUUAUCGGAAAAUUGUGGAUUGAACACUAUGGAAAAAUGAAAAUUAACUGUGUUGAGACCGGUUGGUCAUCAGAGCUAGAAUUCCAUAAAUCUUAUAAAGACUCUUUUUGGAGUUCUCAUCUUUAUCAUAUUGUUGACGGUCACCUUUAUGAUGAAAAACAACAAAAAAAGCGAUCAUUUUGUGGUCAGUGGAUUGACUGCUUGUACAGCUUUGAUUCAAAUGCAUGGCGAACAUAUGAGAAGACGUUGAAGCGUUUAAAUGAAACUGUCACUGGCUUGAAACGAAUGUGUUCCCUGAGCAAUCAAACUUUCCUGCGUUCGACUUCCGAGGAAUCUGAUUGUGAAGCUAGUAAAGGGGAUGUGAGUAACGUACUUGUCUAUAGAAGAAUUCCUCGCACUACAGAUGUUGUGAUCUUAUGCAUGUACUUUUUUUUGGUGCCAAAUAAAAUACAUUUUUCAGAUGAAAAUGAAAUUUGAAGAAGUUACUAAAGAUAUUCAUGAUAAAAGAUUAUUAUGGAAAGCUAAUGCUCGGAGUCCAGAAUAUGAACAGUAUUACAAUUUUUCGAACUUUGCCAUGUCAAUGAAUGAAUUAACUGAAGACAUGAAAAAGAUAAUUGCUCCAACCGACUCACGGUUUCGACCAGAUGUUCGUGAAUUGGAAGAAGGCCGAAUAAGUAGAAAACAGUUGCUUAAAUAAAUACGUUUUUCAAUGGUGAUGAUAUACAGAUGAAGCAUCGAAAGAAAAGCACAGAAUAGAGCAAAAACAAAGAGAUGCAAGAAGUCGAAGAGAGGAAGAUAAAACAGAUUAUGAUCAAAAGUAUUACAAAUAUUCUUUUAUGUUUUAACAUUAUCUUUUUUUUGUAUUUUCAGUGAUACAAAACCCAGGUGACUAUUGUCAGAUUUAGGGUGUUUAUUCAUAUAACUUGUUAGCGAGAUUAGUUCCCAAAAUGAGUAUUUGUUACUCUAUUAUUUGCGUCACCUAUUACAGCAAUUAUUCUCUCUAAUUGCGUUUUUCAGUCUUGAACAUAUCACUGAUAUUUUAUUUUUGUUUUCCGAUUACUCUUCAACAUUUUUCUGGGGAUAAGCUUUUAAUUCCAACUAUAUAUUUCAGAUGGUUUAUUCAGGGGAAGCAUCCAACAACUGGAAGAGAUGGCUGGCUGUUUAAAAGAGAUUAUUGGAAUAGAGAAUGGGAAAACUGUCCCUCCAUCUAUUAGGUAGAAUAUUGAUUAAAAAAGCACUACUAAUAGGGCAAAUACAACAAUAAUUAUUGAAGCGAUAUUAGUCAAUUACAUGCAUGCUCAAUUAUUAUGUAUUACGCAAGAUAUGUUAAACUUAUAUUUUCUAGAAUUUUUAUGCAUUUGCGAAAAUUCAUAUUGCACGAUAUGCUUUUGAUAGUA
rnacentral:misc_RNA from 1 species